rnacentral:lncRNA from 1 species
UUAACUUGUGUGAUUGCAAACAGUGACUCCCAGCUAACUGCAGAGAGUGUGGCUUCCUCCAGGAGACUCAGACUCACCCUCUCAGCGAUUCACCAGCCCUGUAGACACCUCCUUCGUGCCAGGCUCUGUGCCACUGCUGAGUCCUCAAGGACAGGCAGCACAGGCCCAGCUCGGCCGCUCCCCCGCUGUCAGAGCUGGCUCCUGCUCGGCCCUUCUCAGCUCGUGGCUUCUGGCUCAUGCUUCAAGACGGCUGCUCAAGCUCUAAUCUGUUCUCCAGCAUAAGCAGACAGAACACAAAUACACAAACAUAUUGGAGGACUCGAAGAUUGUCUGCAUCGGAGAGGAAGGAGUCAGAAGCCUGAGUCCUGGUUCCCACCUCACCUCCAGCUGGCUAGGUGACCAGGA